CGUCCAGACUCCUACGGGAGGCAGCAGUGAGGAAUAUUGGUCAAUGGACGCAAGUCUGAACCAGCCAAGUAGCGUGCAGGAUGACGGCCCUCCGGGUUGUAAACUGCUUUUAGUUGGGAAUAAAAGGGGGCUCGUGAGCCCCGUAUUGUAUGUACCAUCAGAAAAAGGACCGGCUAAUUCCGUGCCAGCAGCCGCGGUAAUACGGAGGGUCCGGGCGUUAUCCGGAUUUAUUGGGUUUAAAGGGUGCGUAGGCGGGCUUUUAAGUCAGCGGUAAAAAUUCGGGGCUCAACCCCGUCCGGCCGUUGAAACUGGCAGUCUCGAGUUGGAGAGAAGUAUGCGGAAUGCGCGGUGUAGCGGUGAAAUGCAUAGAUAUCGCGCAGAACUCCGAUUGCGAAGGCAGCAUGCCGGCUCCACACUGACGCUGAGGCACGAAAGCGUGGGUAUCGAACAGGAUUAGAUACCCUGGUAGG
rnacentral:rRNA from 1 species